UACGUAGGUGGCAAGCGUUGUCCGGAUUUACUGGGCGUAAAGGGCGUGCAGGCGGUCUGUUAAGUUCAGGGUGAAAGCUCCCGGCUCAACUGGGAGAGGUCCUUGGAUACUGGCAGACUUGAGGAGGGUAGAGGAGAGUGGAAUUCCCGGUGUAGUGGUGAUAUGCGUAGAUAUCGGGAGGAACACCAAUGGCGAAGGCAGCUCGCUGGGACGGUACUGACGCUGAGACGCGAAAGCGUGGGGAGCAAACAGG
rnacentral:rRNA from 1 species